rnacentral:misc_RNA from 1 species
AAACUGCGAUAAGUAGUGUGAAUUGCAUUUAGUGAAUCAUCGAAUCUUUGAACGCACCCUGCACUCACUGGUAUUCCGUUGAGUACGCCUGUUUCAGUAUCAUUGAAAACACACAAUCAAAACAUUUUCUUUGGUUUGAUUGGCUUUGGGUCUAUCAAAAAGUUUGGCUUGUUUCUUACAAGCCAAGCGGCCUGAAAUAUAUUGUCUGGCUAAUUGCAUCGUUGAUGAUCGCUAUUAGACUUUGGCUUUUUUAAAUGAACUGGAGGUUGAUUAACCAGUUUUAGCUUUAGUCAAAUGGUCAUUGUAAAAAAAAUCUCGAUCUUGGCUAGGUGUUUAUAGCCGAAAAUUUUUUUUUGGCUAUAACCGAAACCAAUAUAAUCACAUUUAGUUAUCGAUCUGAAAUCAGGUGGGACUACCCGCUGAACUUAAGC